AGCUGGAAUUGCUAGUAAUGGCAGGUCAGCAUACUGCCGUGAAUACGUUCCCGGGCCUUGUACACACCGCCCGUCACACCAUGAGAGUUGGGGAUACCCGAAGCCUGUGAGCUAACUUUAUAAGGAGCAGCAGUCGAAGGUAGAAUCAAUGAUUGGGGUGAAGUCGUAACAAGGUACC
rnacentral:rRNA from 1 species